rnacentral:rRNA from 1 species
AUUGAACGCUGGCGGCAGGCCUAACACAUGCAAGUCGAACGGUAACAGGAAGAGGGCUGGCUCUUUGGUGAGGAGUGGGGGAGGCGGGUGAGAUGUCUGGCAAACUGUCUGAUGUCGGGGGGGAACAAGUGGAAACGGUUACUAUAAUAGCGCAUAGGCCCAAGGGCAGAGAGGGGGAGAUUUGCGCACCUUGCGCGCGGGAGUGACCAGAUGGGAUUAGCUAUGUGGGGGGGUAACGGCGCACACAGGCGACGAUCUCUAGCUGGUCUGAGAGGAUGACCAGCCACACUGGAACUGAGACACGGUCCAGACUCCUACGGGAGGCAGCAGUGGGGAAUAUUGCACAAUGGGCGCAAGCCUGAUCCAGCCAUGCCGCGUGGGUGAAGAAGGCCUUCGGGUUGUAAAGUCCUUUUGGCGGGGAAGAAAAGCAGAAGGUUAAUACCUUGCCUCAUUGACGGUACCCGCAGAAGAAGCACCGGCUAACUCCGUG